GAUGAACGCUGGCGGCGUGCUUAACACAUGCAAGUCGAACGAAGCAUUUUGGAAGGAAGUUUUCGGAUGGAAUUCCUUAAUGACUGAGUGGCGGACGGGUGAGUAACGCGUGGGGAACCUACCCUAUACAGGGGGAUAACAGCUGGAAACGGCUGCUAAUACCGCAUAAGCGCACAGAAUCGCAUGAUUCGGUGUGAAAAGCUCCGGCAGUAUAGGAUGGUCCCGCGUCUGAUUAGCUGGUUGGCGGGGUAACGGCCCACCAAGGCGACGAUCAGUAGCCGGCUUGAGAGAGCGGACGGCUACAUUGGGACUGAGACACGGCCCAAACUCCUACGGGAGGCAGCAGUGGGGAAUAUUGCACAAUGGGGGAAACCCUGAUGCAGCGACGCCGCGUGAGUGAAGAAGUAUUUCGGUAUGUAAAGCUCUAUCAGCAGGGAAGAAAAAAGACGGUACCUGACUAAGAAGCCCCGGCUAACUACGUGCCAGCAGCCGCGGUAAUACGUAGGGGGCAAGCGUUAUCCGGAAUUACUGGGUGUAAAGGGUGCGUAGGUGGCAUGGUAAGUCAGAAGUGAAAGCCCGGGGCUUAACCCCGGGACUGCUUUUGAAACUGUCAUGCUGGAGUGCAGGAGAGGUAAGCGGAAUUCCUAGUGUAGCGGUGAAAUGCGUAGAUAUUAGGAGGAACACCAGUGGCGAAGGCGGCUUACUGGACUGUCACUGACACUGAUGC
rnacentral:rRNA from 1 species